rnacentral:lncRNA from 1 species
UUAAUUUCUUUACAUCAGGUGCUCGUACUAUCACACAUCAACUUACUUAAUCAUACAAAUCAAUGUAAUGACAUAAUAUUUUGCAUGCCAUUUAAAGGGGCCAUAAAAAGUUCUUAAAAAGUAAAAUCAAAUGAGACAAUGCCAACACUACAUGUUGCCUAACUCUCCCUAUCAGUCCCGGAGUGUAGAGUUUUGAUCCAUAAUGAUAGUACUUCAACAGGGAAAGAAAAUAAAGUGAAAGUUCAUCAACAUGUUGCAUAACUCUCCUUAUCAUUCCCAGAGUAUAUAGUUUUGAGCCAUAAUGAUAGUCCUUCAACAGGGAAAGAAAAGAAAGUGAAAGUUCAUCAAGGUUCUACACACCACCAACUAUUUAUACAACUAAGAUAUCAGAUAUUUACCUU